rnacentral:ncRNA from 1 species
GACUCUCUUAAGAUGCCUUGUCAUCUAAUUAGUGGCACGCAUGAAUGGAUUAAUGAGAUUCCCAUUGUCCCUAGCUACUAUCUAGAGAAACCACAUCCAAGGGAACGGGCUUGGCAGAAUUAGCGGGGAAAGAAGAACCUAUUGAGCUUGAAUCUAGUUCGACUUUGUACUGAAAUGACUUGAGAGGUGUAGAAUAAGUGGGAGUCAUUUUUAUCUAUAACUCUAUGAAUCCUAGAACAUCAAACCCAUAUCAUAUAAAUUGUAAAUGAUAUAAUCUAUAAUACAAUAUAACCCUUUUAUUACCUAACACGUACAACCU